ACAGCAGUAGCCGCGGGAAAACGGAGGGUGCAAGCGUUAUCCGGAUUUAUUGGGUUUAAAGGGUCCGUAGGCGGACUUAUAAGUCAGUGGUGAAAGCCUGUCGCUUAACGAUAGAACUGCCAUUGAUACUGUAAGUCUUGAGUAUAUUUGAGGUAGCUGGAAUAAGUAGUGUAGCGGUGAAAUGCAUAGAUAUUACUUAGAACACCAAUUGCGAAGGCAGGUUACCAAGAUAUAACUGACGCUGAGGGACGAAAGCGUGGGUAGCGAACAGGAUUAGAUACCCCCCGUAGUCCCUGUCUCUUAUA
rnacentral:rRNA from 1 species